CACUUUAUUGCUAACUGUCCCAAUAAUGAUAGUGACUAGGAACAAGGAAAGAAUGGGAAGAGAGAGAACAAGAAGGUUUACAAGAAGGCUAAGGGCGAGGCACACAUUGGAAAAGAGUGGGACUCGGAUUGUUCUUCGUCCGACUCUGACGACGAAGGACUCGCCGCCACGGCCUUCAACAAAUCGUCUCUCUUCCCCAACGAGCGUCACACCUACGUCAUGGCAAAAGAGAAGAAGGUAAGUACUCGAAGUACUAUUACGUAUGCUUCUUCAAGUGAUGAUGAAUCUAGUGAUGAUGAAGUAGACUAUGCAAGUUUAUUCAAAGGCUUAGAUAGAACUAAAAUUGAUAAGAUCAAUGAAUUAAUUGAUGCCUUGAAUGAGAAGAAUAGAUUGUUAGAGAAACAAGAGGAUCUUCUAUAUGAAGAGCAUGAUAAAUUUGUAAGUGCGCAAAAUUCUCUUGCUUUAGAAGUUAAAAGAAAUGAAAUGCUUUCAUGUGAAUUAUCUACAUGCCAUGAAUCUAUUUCUAGCUUAAAGAGUAUUAAUUAUGACUUGAAUACUAAGUUAGAAAUAGCUAAUAAAUCAAGCUCUUGUGUAGAACAUGUUGUGAUAUGCAAUAGAUGUAAGGAUUUCAAUGUUGAUGCUUGUAGUGAACACUUAAUUUCCAUUUCCAAAUUAAAUGAUGAAGUGGCUAGUCUUAAUGCCCAACUUAAGACUAGCAAGAAUGACCUUGAUAAACUAAAAUUUGCAAGAGAUGCCUACACUAUUGGUAGACACCCCUCAACUAAGGAUGGGCUUAGCUUUAAGAGGGAAGCCAAGAACUUAACAAGUCAAGGGGCUCCCAUUUUCAACAAGGAAAAAGGGAAGGCUCCUAUGACUAGUAAUAGUCAAAAGAAUCAUGCAUUUAUUUAUGAUAGAAAAUUUUCUAGGAAUGCUUAUCAUAAUAGGAGUUGUAAUGCUUAUGAUUCAAAUGCCAUGAUUGCUUCAAGUUCUUCCUUUGUGCACGGUAGACAUAUGCCUAUGAGAAAUGUUGUUCAUGUACCUAGGAAAGCAAGUAAUGAACCUUCUACAAUUUACCAUGCUUGCAAUGCUUCUUUUGCAAUUUGUAGGAAGAAUAAGAAAGUGAUUGCUAGGAAAUUAGGGGCAAAAUGCAAGGGAGAUAAAACUUGCAUUUGGGUCCCUAAGGCUAUUGUUACUAACCUUGUAGGACCCAACAAGAGUUGGGUACCUAAAACCCAAGCCUAAUUUGCCUUGCAGGUUUAUGCAUCCGGGGGCUCAAGCUGGAUUAUCGACAGUGGAUGCACAAAUCACAUGACGGGGGAGAAGAAGAUGUUCACCUCCUACGUCAAGAACAAAGACUCCCAAGAUUCAAUCAUAUUCGGUGACGGGAAUCAAGCAAGGUUAAAGGACUAGGAAAAAUAGCUAUUUCAUCCGAGCAUUCCAUCUCUAAUGUGUUUUAGUUGAAUCGCUCGGAUAUAACUUGUUGUCCGUAAGUCAAUUAUGCAAUAUGGGUUACAAUUGCUUAUUUACAAAUGUAGAUGUGUCUGUCUUUAGAAGGAGUGAUGGUUCAUUAGCUUUUAAGGGUGUACUAGACGACAAACUCUAUUUAGUUGAUUUUGCAAAGGAAGAGGCCGGUCUAGAUGCAUGCUUAAUUGCUAAGACUAACAUGGGCUGGCUGUGGCAUCGCCGUCUAGCACAUGUGGGGAUGAAGAACCUUCACAAACUUCUAAAGGGAGAACAUGUGUUAGGUCUAACAAAUGUAACUUUCGAAAAAUAUAGACCUUGUGCAGCUUGUCAAGCAGGUAAACAAGUGGGAAAUGCUCAUCACAGCAAGAACGUGAUGACCACAUCAAGACCCCUGAAGCUGCUGCAUAUGGACCUCUUCGGACCCAUCGCCUACCUCAGCAUCGGGGAAGUAAGUAUGGUCUUGUUAUUGUUGAUGAGUUUUCCCGCUUCACUUGGUAUUCUUUUUGCAGGAUAAGUCUGAAACCCAAGGGACCCUUAAACGCUUCCUAAGGAGAGCUCAAAAUGAGUUUGAGCUCAAGGUGAAGAAGAUAAGGAGCGACAACGGGUCCGAAUUCAAGAACCUUCAAGUAGAGGAGUACCUUGAGGAGGAAGGAAUCAAGCACGAGUUCUCCGCUCCUUACACACCUCAGCAAAAUGGUGUGGUAGAGAGGAAGAACACGACGCUCAUAGACAUGGCGAUGACGAUGCUUGGAGAGUUCAAGACACCCGAGCGGUUUUGGUCGGAAGCCGUGAACACGGCUUGCCAUGCCAUAAACCGGUCUACCUUCAUCGCCUCCUCAAGAAGAUGUUGUACGAACUCCUAACCGGUAACAAACCCAACGUUUCAUAUUUUUCGUGUAUUUGGGAGUAAAUGCUACAUUCUAGUGAAGAAAGGCAGGAAUUCUAAAUUUGCUCCCAAAGCUGUAGAAGGGUUUUUGUUAGGUUAUGACUCAAAUACAAAGGCGUAUAGAGUCUUCAACAAAUCAUCAGGUUUGGUUGAAGUCUCUAGCGACGUUGUAUUUGAUGAGACUAAUGACUCUCCAAGAGAGCAAGUUGAUCUUAAUAAUGUAGAUGAAUAUGAUGUUCCAACGGACGCAAUUCACACCAUGGCGAUUGGAGAUGUGCGACCACAGGAACACUAAGAGCAAGAUCAACCCUCUUCCUCAACAAUGGUGCACUCCCCAUCUCAAGACGAUGAACAGGUUCAUCAAGAAGAGGCGUGUGAUCAAGGGGGAGCACAAGAUAAUGAUGUUAUGGAGGAAGAAGCACCACAGGCCCCUCCAACUCAAGUCCGAGCGACGAUUCAAAGGAAUCAUCCCCUCGACCAGAUAUUGGGUGAUAUAAGCAAGGGAGUAACUACUCACUCUAGAUUAGUUAAUUUUUGUGAGCAUUACUCUUUUGUCUCUUCUAUUGAGCCUCUCAGGGUAGAAGAGGCCUUGUUAGAUCCAGACUGGGUAUUGGCCAUGCAGGAAGAACUUAAUAACUUCAAGCGAAAUGAAGCUUGGACACUGGUGCCACGUCCCAAGAAAAACGUUGUGGGAACCAAGUGGGUGUUUCGCAACAAACAGGACGAGCACGGGGUGGUGACAAUGAACAAGGCUAGACUUGUGGCAAAAGGUUAUGCCCAAGUCGCAGGUUUGGACUUUGAGGAGACUUUUGCUCCUGUGGCUAGGCUAGAGUCUAUUCGUAUUUUGUUAGCCUAUGCCGCUCACCAUUCUUUCAGGUUGUUCCAAAUGGAUGUGAAGAGCGCUUUCCUCAACGGGCCAAUCAAGGAGGAGGUGUACGUGUGUAAGCUCUCUAAGGCGCUCUAUGGACUUAAGCAAGCCCCAAGAGCAUGGUAUGAAUGCCUUAGAGACUUUUUAAUUGCUAAUGCUUUCAAGGUUGGGAAAGCCGAUCCAACUUUAUUUACUAAGACUUGUGAUGGUGACUUAUUUGUGUGCCAAAUUUAUGUCGAUGACAUAAUAUUUGGUUCUACUAACCAAAAGUCUUGUGAAGAGUUUAGCAGGGUGAUGACUCAAAAGUUUGAGAUGUCGAUGAUGGGCGAGUUGAACUACUUCCUUGGGUUCCAAGUGAAGCAACUCAAGGACGGCACAUUCAUCUCCCAAACGAAGUACACGCAAGACUUGAUCAAGCGGUUUGGGAUGAAAGACGCCAAGCCCGCAAAGACUCCAAUGGGAACCGACGGACAUGUCGACCUCAACAAAGGAGUCCAUUUGCAAUCUCAAAAGUGGAUUGAAAGGGAAAGGUGGACUUGGACCAUGAAAGACUUCCACUGCACUUCGAUGAGAGGUAACUUACUCCAAGUUCAUCUCCAUGCUCUUAUUGCCUUUUUUGAAGAUUUUGGUGAGGCAAUGAGGUUAAAAGGCCAAAAAUGAUCCCGUUUUGGUGCUUGAUGCCAAAGGGGGAGAAAUUAAGGCCAAAGCAAGCAAAUGGAUCAGCUACCACUUCAGAAUUUUGAAAAUAGUAGAGUUAGAAGUUUUGAUUUGUCAAAAUACUCUAAGUGUCUCUUUUUGUCAAAAGUUGGUCUCUUGUGGGAAGAAUGUUUGAUUAUGAAAAAGGGGAGUUUUUGUAUCUUUGAUCAAUUUCUCUUGGAAUACCUCUCUUUAUGUCUCAACAAGUGUGUUUGACUUAGAGAUAGGAAUUUGAGUUUGAUUUACAAAAACAAACCAAGUGGUGGCAAAGAAUGAUCCAAAUAUGCCAAAUUUGAAUAAAAAACAAAUCUGGAUCUCAUUUGCAUUGAUAUGACACUUCUAUGUGUUGCUUUUUUUGUUGUGUUGGCAUAAAUCACCAAAAAAGGGGAGAUUGAAAGGGAAAUGUGCCCUUGGGCCAUUUCUAAGUAUUUUGGUGAUUAAAUGCCCAACACAAAUGGCUUAAGUAUAAAUUGUGCAAAAUGGUGAAUGAAGUGCAAAUCAUCAAUAAGGUAUGAUUCUAGACUUAGUACAUUGUAUUUUGUGUACUAACAUAUUUGGCUAAGUGCUAGAAUCAGGGAAAACAGAAAAAGAAAAAGACUUGGCUGAAGCAGCCAAGACUCAGUACAGUCUGGGUGCACCGGACAGUGUCCGGUGCGCCAGGCUGGAUUCUGGUCAAUAGGCCGCUCUCGGGAAUUCGUCGGUGGCGUACGGCUAAAAUUCACCGGACUGUCCGGUGGUGCACCGGACUGUCCGGUGAGCCAACGGUCGACCGCGCAAUCCGCGCGUGACGCGUGGCUGAGCCAACGGUCUGAUGGGGGCACCGGACUGUCCGGUGUGCACCGGACAGUGUCCGGUGCGUCAACGGCUCCAAAUCUUCAAUGGUCGACUGCGCCAAAUUAGGAAGGUGAUCCGCACCGGACUGUGAACAGGGGAUGUCCGGUGAUGCACCGGACUGUCCGGUGCGCCACCUGACAAAAGGCAAGUAUUGUCUGCCAAGAAUGCCUCCAACGGCUCCUAGCUGCCUUGGGGCUAUAAAAGGGACCCCUAGGCGCAUGGAGGAGUCACCCAAGCAUACUUUGAGCAUUCUUAAUCAUUCACUCUCCGUCUUUGCGCACUCGUUUGACUUUCUUAGUGAUUUGAGCUUCGUUCUAGUGGUGAACCUAGUGCUACUCAUUUGAGCUCAAGUCUUGGUUGUGUGUGUGUGCGUAUUGCUGUGGAUUUGUGUGUGUUGCUUCCCUUCCUUAAUCUAGUGCUUCCACUUUGAUAUUUGUUGUAAGGGCGAGAGACUCCAACUUGUGGAGAUUCCUCGCAAACGGGAAAAGUGAUAAGUGAAAGGGAAUUAGACUUACACUUAUUUCCUAAUUGAUUUUGGUGGUUGAAUUGCCCAACACAGAUAAUUAUACUAACUAGUUUGCUCUAGUGUAUAAGUUAUACAGGUGCCAAAGCUUCACACUUAGCCAAUAAAAAGACCAAGAAUUGGGUUCAACAAGGAGAGCAAAGGGAUAACCGAAGUGUGCCCUGGUCUGGCGCACCGGACUGUCCGGUGUGCCACUGGACAGUGUCUGGUGCACUAGGGAACUUCACGCUGAACUCUUCACCUUCGGGAAAAUCCAGAGGCUCUUCGCUGUAAUUCACCGGACUGUCCGGUGCUCCAAGGAAGGGUGUCUCAGGAACUCGCCAGCUUCGGGAAUUCGCUCCGCUAUAAUUCACCGGACAUGUCCGGUGAGCCAGCGGAGCAACGACUACUUCGCGCCAACGGUCACCUGCAGAGGCAUUAAAUGCACGCCAGAGCGCGCAGAAGUCAGGCACGCGCGAAGUGGCGCACCGGACACUCUACAGUGCAUGUCCGGUGUGCCACCGGACAUCCAGGCGGGCCCAGAAGUCAGAGCUCCAACGGUCGGAACCCAACGGCCUGGUGACGUGGCUGGCGCACCGGACACUGUCCGGUGUGCACCGGACUGUCCGGUGCACCAUGCGACAGACAGCCUCCACCAAACUGCUAGUUGGGUGGUUGGGGUUAUAAAUACCCCCAACCACCCCACAUUCAAGUCAUCCAAGUUUCUCAACUUCCAACCACUUACAAGAGCUAGGCAUUCAAUACAAGACACACCCAAGUGAUCAAAUCCUCUCCCAAUUCCACAAAAGCUUUAGUGUUAAGUGAGAGUGAUUUGUUGUGUUCUUUUGAGCUCUUGCGCUUGGAUCGCUUUCUUCUUUCUCAUUCUUUCUUGUGAUCAAUACUCAAUUGUAACCAAGGCAAGAGACACCAAUUGUGUGGUGAUCCUUGCGGGGAAGUUUUGUUCCCGGUUGAUUUGAGAAGAGAAAGCUCACUCGGUCCGAGGGACCGUUUGAGAGAGGGAAAGGGUUGAAAGAGACCCGGUCUUUGUGACCACCUCAACGGGGAGUAGGUUUGCGAGAACCGAACCUCGGUAAAACAAAUCCGCGUGUCACACUCUUUAUUCGCUUGCGAUUUGUUUUGCACUCUCUCUCGCGGACUCAAUUAUAUUUCUAACGCUAACCCGGCUUGUAGUUGUGAUUAACUUUGUGAAUUUCAGUUUCGCCCUAUUCACCCCCCCUCUAGGCGACUUUCAUUUGGUAUCAAAGCUCGGUGCUUCACUAGAGCCUAACCGCUCGAAGUGAUGUCGGGAGAACACGCCAAGAAGGAGAUGGAGACCGGCGACAAGCCCGCUACAAGCCACGGGAAAGCUUCAUCGGGAGAGUCCCGCAACAAAGGGAAGGGGAAGGAGAAGAAACCCUCUUCCCACAAGUCGCAUCGGAGUGGGGACAAGAAAAAGAAGAUGAGGAAGGUGGUCUACUACGAGACCGACACCUCAUCGCCAUCUACCUCCGGCUCCGACGCACCAUCCGUCACUUCUAAGCGCCAUGAGCGCAAGAAGUUUAGUAAGAUCCCCUUACACUACCCUCGCACUUCUAGACAUACUCCAUUACUUUCCGUUCCAUUAGGCAAACCGCCAACCUUUGACGGUGAAGAUUAUGCUAGGUGGAGUGAUUUAAUGAAAUUUCAUCUAACCUCACUCCACAAAAGUAUAUGGAAUGUUGUUGAGUUUGGAGCACAGAUACCAUCCAUAGGGGAUGAGGAUUAUGAUGAGGACGAGGUGGCCCAAAUCGAGCACUUCAACUGCCAAGCCACAACCAUACUCCUCGCCUCUCUAAGUAGGGAGGAGUACAACAAGGUGCAAGGAUUGAAGAGCGCCAAGGAAGUUUGGGACGUGCUCAAGACCGCGCACGAGGGUGAUGAACUCACCAAGAUCACCAAGCGGGAAACGAUCGAGGGGGAGCUCGGUCGCUUCCGUCUUCGCCAAGGGGAGGAGCCACAAGACAUGUACAACCGGCUCAAAACCUUGGUGAAUCAAGUGCGCAACCUUGGGACCAAAAAGUGGGAUGACCACGAGGUGGUUAAGGUUAUUUUAAGAUCACUUAUUUGCCUUAACCCGACUCAAGUACAAUUAAUUCGUGGCAAUCCAAGAUAUACACUAAUGACUCCCGAGGAAGUAAUCGGGAAUUUUGUGAGCUUUGAAUUUAUGAUCAAGGGCUCACAGAAGAUCAACGAGCUUGACGGUCCUUCUACGUCCGAAGCUCAACCGGUCGCAUUCAAAGCGACGGAAGAGAAGAAGGAGGAGUCUACACCGAGUAGAACACCCAUCGACGCCUCCAAGCUCGACAACGAGGAAAUGACGCUUGUCAUCAAAAGCUUUCGCCAAAUUCUCAAGCAAAGGAGGGGGAAAGACUACAAGCCCCGCUCCAAGAAGGUUUGCUACAAGUGUGGUAAGCCCGAUCACUUUAUAGCAAAAUGUCCUAUUUCCAGUGACAGGGGCGACGACAAGGGGAGAAGAAAGGAGAAGAAGAGGUACUACAAGAAGAAGGGCGGUGAUGCCCAUGUUUGUCGCGAAUGGGACUCCGACGAAAGCUCUAGCGACUCCUCCGACGACGAUGACGCCGCCAACAUCGCCAUCACCAAGGGGCUUCUCUUCCCAAACGUCGGCCACAAGUGCCUCAUGGCAAAGGACGGCAAAAAGAAAAAGGUUAAAUCCAAAUCCUCCACUAGAUAUGAGUCCUCUAGUGAUGAUAAUGCUAGUGAUGAGGAAGAUAACUUGCGUACCCUUUUUGCCAACUUAAACAUGCAACAAAAAGAGAAAUUAAAUGAAUUGAUUAGUGCCAUCCAUGAGAAGGAUGAUCUCUUGGACUCCCAAGAGGACUUCCUAAUCAAGGAAAACAAAAAGCAUGUUAAAGUUAAAAAUGCCUAUGCUCUAGAAGUUGAAAAAUGUGAAAAAUUAUCUAGUGAGCUAAGCACUUGCCAUGAGACUAUAGACAACCUUAGAAAUGAGAAUUCUAAUUUGUUAGCUAAGGUUGAUUCUAUUGCUUGUAAUGUUUCAAUUCCCAAUCUUAGAAAUGAUAAUGAUGAUUUGCUUGCUAAGAUUAAAGAAUUAAACAUGUCUCUUGCUAGCCUUAGGAUUGAAAAUGAAAAAUUGCUUGCUAAGGCUAAAGAAUUAGAUGUUUGCAAUGCUACAAUUUCCGACCUUAGAACUAAAAAAUGAUAUAUUGCAUGCUAAGGUUGUAGAAUUGAAAUCUUGCAAACCCUCUACAUCUACCGUUGAGCACACUUCUAUUUGUACUAGAUGUAGAGAUGUUAACAUUGAUGCUAUUCAUGAUCACAUGGCUUUAAUUAAACAACAAAAUGAUCAUAUAGCAAAAUUAGAUGCUAAAAUUGCCGAGCAUGACUUAGAGAAUGAAAAAUUUAAAUUUGCUCGUAGUAUGCUUUAUAGUGGGAGACGCCCUGGCAUUAAGGAUGGCAUUGGCUUCCAAAAGGGGAACAAUGUCAAACUUAAUGCCCCUCCUAAGAAAUUGUCUAAUUUUGUUAAGGGCAAGGCUCCCAUGCCUCAAGAUAACGAGGGUUACAUUUUGUACCCUGCCGGUUAUCCUGAGAGCAAAAUUAGGAGAAUUCAUUCUAGGAAGUCUCACUCUGGCCCUAACCAUGCUUUUAUGUAUAAGGGUGAGACAUCUAGUUCUAGGCAACCAACCCAUGCUAAGUUGCUUAAAAAGAAAACUCCUAGUGCAACAAAUGAUCAUGACAUUUCAUUUAAAACUUUUGAUGCAUCAUAUGUUUUAACUAACAAAUCCGGCAAGGUAGUUGCCAAGUAUGUUGGGGGCAAACACAAGGGAUCAAAGACUUGUGUUUGGGUACCCAAAGUUCUUGUAUCUAAUGCCAAAGGACCCAAAACCAUUUGGGUACCUAAAGUCAAGAACUAAACAUGUUUUGUAGGUUUAUGCAUCCGGGGGCUCAAGUUGGAUCAUCGACAGCGGGUGCACAAACAACAUGACAGGGGAGAAGAAAAUGUUCUCCUCCUAUGAGAAAAACCAAGAUCCCCAACGAGCUAUCACAUUUGGUGAUGGAAACCAAGGUUUGGUCAAAGGAUUGGGUAAAAUAGCUAUAUUGUGGCGGAACCGCCCGAAUUAUUCCAGCUUAAGUGCCCAAGUCGCACCCUUAAGGGCAGCAACACACUUAAACAGGAAUAACCCGUCAGUCCCUCGGAUCUAGUCCGAUAAAGCCACUUACCAGGAUCGAAUACCACUAGCUCACUCGAAGGUGAGGCACAGAGAAAUACAAUAAAGCAUAAUACCACAAAUUUAAUAAGUAUCAAUAGUGAUUACAUUAUCGGAGUUUCAGAAAUAAUAAUCAUAAAUUUUAAUGCAGCGGAAAUAACUAACGGAGAAAACCGAGUAACAUGGCGAAGCCUGGCCACGCUACUCCUCCUGGUCCUCUCCUGCGGAAGCAAUAACCCACUCGACCGUCUAUCCCGGUGGCAGGGAUGGAGGCCAAGUCACACCAUCAACCAAUCAUCCUAAGGAGUACCUACAAAAAUUGUGCCACAAGCAAGGCUGAGUAUACUAAUACUCAGCUAGACUUACCCGGUGUGAGGAGUCUACUCCUCUACCUCUAGACAUGCAGCUGUUUGGCUGUGGGGUUUGGUUGCCAAAAGCACUAGCUGAGUUUAUAAAUCAAGUUUUAGCUUUGUCCAGUUUUAGUGUGACUCUCUUAAGACUAGAUGUGUACUAUCUACUCAUUCAUGGUAGCAAGCAAAUUUAGCAAUCAACAUCUUUUGUCACCUCAUCACAUUUCCACUUGUUACUCAAUGUAGCAGCAUGGAUCAAGCAGUCUCAUUAGCUGCGAGAAGCAGACGAUUCGAAUCGAGUUUUUAAACCUUGCAAGGUAAACCUAAACACACGACAUGGCGAGGCACUCCGUCCCCACACAUAUCAACCGUCCCCAUCGAUUCCCCGUCAGCAGAUCAGGGCUCACCGCCUUGGCGUACAAUGCCUCACUGACCCCGACUGCCGUCGUGCAGUGACCGCACUUGUACCCACCAUAACCGGAAUGGGAGACCACGUCUCAGGUCGCGUGAGGGGAUAUGUCCACUGCCAGGUUCACUCAGGUACUAGGCUUACCGAUUUACCAUAUUUCUCGGCAUGUGCUUAGUACGUUCAAACGCUUGACUCACGGUACCACACCUUAAUCCUUAUUCCAAUUUCCGUCUCGUAGACAACGCAUCCCCAUGGACCGUUGUCCACAGACCAUCAUCAAUACGAUAUGUAAAUGGAUACAAGCAAUUCCUGACCUCGCGCGAGUGCAAAAAAAAUCACUCGACUUCUACCGAGAUCCCUAAUUAGUAAAGCAGCUACUCGACCUAGCAUACUAGUAUCCAUCUCAAUAGGAUUCCUGAGAUCAUGCAACUAGGGUUGCAGUCAACUCCUACACUUAAGUGCACAGUACAAGCCUUCAAACAUUAAGUGUAGUAAAAUAGCAUAUAUAAACGGUUAUGCAUAAAACCGGGGCUUGCCUUUAAUUUUUAACACUUAGAUAGUGUUUGCUGGGGGAGGAGGUGCUCGCUUGGCGAGCAUCCACUGGUUAAGUCCAUUCUUCAGGUCGUCCACCACGGCAUCUUGUGGUUGGCACCACAUUACUGGCUCGAUCAUCAUCUCUCGGUCCUAUAUGAGGUGCAAGAUGCAUAUGUAUGAAUAUAAUGAAAGUAGCAAAAAAAUAGCACAAGAUAUACCAAGACACAGUGGCGAACUAAACGUUAGUUAGUAAGACACUGCAACAACUAUACGCAUACACUAGUUAUUUAUAUGUCGUUGGGCACAUGUAAACACUACCACUGGAAAGACGACGAUCACUACCUACACUUAACCAACGUAACAUGACAUCACACGUACAAGCAUUUAUUUAAUUGCUACGACUUUUCUUUAGUUUUUCUAUUGAUCACACAAAAGCAUUACCAACCACACAAGUCCAACCAAGACAACGUAAGCUUGAAUAUGACAUAGGCAUCACUAACUACGGAACUCCUAUAUCACAAACAACUAGAGAAGGAAACAUAUAAAACAGUACACACAUUCAUUAUUAAGCUUAACCAUGGCAAGUCUACAUUACUUAAGAGCAAACCACACAUUUUUAGCGACAAGGGGGAAACUAAACAAUCAAAAGCGCACUAGCAGAAUUUUUGGACAGCAAUACAGCAGUCAAUUGUUUCAGUCAUAACUCACAAGAUAUUUACUCAAAAAUAAUAAACUAGGACUUUCUAGAAAGCUUGAAAAGUGCUUUACAACUUUGGUAUUGUCAUCACAGCAUGAUUAAUCACUUAGCAAGGUCAAAAGGUGUUAACACAACAGUGCUGUCCAGAUUUGGACAGAUUCAGACUUAUGACUUUAAAAAUUCAUAACUGAAGAUUCAGGCAUCCAAACAAGGUGAUCCUAGACUUUCUGGAAAGGUAAUACAAUUGUCUACAUAUCACUUAUAAACAUCUUAAGGUGACUCAAUAGUUAACUAAGGAUAAAAUACACUAGAAGGCUUUGCUGUCCAGAAUUGGACAGAUUCAGUCUUCAGACUUCAAACAUCCAUAACUUAAUCUUCAGACCACCAAAAAGAGUGAUCCAAGACUUUUUGAAAAGCUCAGCAAAAGCACUACAUAACUUUUAUAAUCACUAAGAAGUGAUUCAAUGUUUAACUAAAUCAAACAACACAGUUUUCGAAAUCUGUUCUGACGGUGGACAGAACACAGCAAGCAGUUUGUAAAAUUCAUAACUCUUAAACCGUCAGGCCUAUAGUUAUGAAAUUUUAACACAAGCAAGAUAAGAAAAGCCUCUACAACUUUCUUAUAAUGAUCAUGAACAGGUUGCAACAUUAAAUUGAGCAAACAAUACAAUUUCUGAAAUCUGUACAGAAUUUGGACAGAUUCAGUUACUGAAUUUGUAAAAAGCACAACUCCUAAACUGUUAGACCUGUGGCUGUCAAAUUUUAAUACUAGCAAGAUAAUAAAGUUAUCUACCACUUUUCUAUAGCACAUAUCUACGGAAAACACAAUGUAGUUCAUCAAACAUACAGCACGACAAAAACAGCGUGUGCAGUCCAAAACAGCAAUCAAUAAAUUUCAGCUCCUAUAGAAUUCACGAAUCGCCGCGUUCGAGCGACUUGAAUUAUUCUAACGCUUUACUAUUUAUUCGAGUUACGACAAUCAAUUAGAACCAACAAGUCGACUUGCAAAUUUUAUUCAAGUCAUUUAGUGCACUAAAAUUACUACAACCAAUUAACAACGCAUUCUCCACGAUAAUCACCCAACAAUUUGCGUUUUAAAUUAGACAUCACAUGAGCACUACUACUUUUUACCCGCGACCGUAACCAUACACAUUUAGACCAUAACAAGCAAUUUACCGUGAUUAUGAGUUUAACCAAGUCAUCUAACAAGUUGACUAACCCUUUAUCAUCACAAUCCGAGACACAAUAUGUAUAUAACAAUCACUAAUUUGUCUUACAUUUCAAUUCUUAUUGCAUGACAUAAACCAUUCCAACAUGCAUGGUUUGCUUACUUCUAAUUUGUCUCUAAUUCUUCUUAUUAUUAUAAAACGUGUGUCAUUUUAGCACCAUAUGAAACUAUCUAAUUUGGGGCUGGGAUUUUUAUGAUACAUAGGUAAUAACAAAUCAUGACCAAUGUAUAAAUUUCACAUGCGCAGGUUUUCUAUUUUAUUUAAUACAAAAAUAACAAAUUGUUAAUGCAAUAAAGCUUGUGAGAGCAAGUUAAAUCUAAAACUAAUUAUUUUCUGUGGGUGCAUGACCAUAUUAAGUUUUCUCAGGCUACUAUAGUAUCAUGCAAGAACAGCGGAACACCAUUUUCCAUUUUUGCAUCUAUACAUUAUUUUUAAAUCAUUUAGAACUACUUAAGGUGCAUUAAAGAAGUUAAAUCACUAACCUAAUCAUACAUGCACAACAAUUCAUGAAAUUUUUACCCGUCACCAAACAUCACACCAAGAGUCUACUGUAAAAAUCUCAACCCAUUUGGAGCACUAGAGCUACAGAUCCAAAAAUAACAAGCAAAUACAUCUUCUUUUCUCUAUUUAACUUGUUUUAAUUAACACACCAAGAAAACAGUGAACAACAUAUAAGUUUUAUAUUUUUCUUAGAUGUAGUAUGACAACAUCUAACUAACAAAACAAGUUUGAUCAUUUUUGGAUUUUUAUAAUGAAAACUAUGGAGAGAAGCAAGUUCGUUUAUUCUCUAAACCUCUCUUUAAGAUUUAAUUUGCACAGACAAAAACGUCUACUAAAACAGGUCAUAUUAUAGAUCUAAUAGGUAGGACAUUUCAUAUGAAAGCUAACAAAACAAGUCUUACUAUUUUAGGAGCUCCCAAACUCGAGUUAUAGAUUUUAGAAGAAAGUGCAAGAUUCUGAAAUUUCAGCACACAAGUUCUUGACCCGGAGCUCACCUACACCUUGCUGCCGUAGAGAAGGGGGAGACGCCAUGGGAGAGCUGCCAAGGUGAGGGAGGAGCAUGGGAGGGCUUGGUCGCCAGCUCCAUGGGAGGGGGUUGCUGCUGCAUGGGGAGCUAGAGAGAGAGAGAGAGGAAGGGAGUAGGGAGAGUGGCGUGGAGAGAGGGAGAGGAAGUG
rnacentral:lncRNA from 1 species